UUCUAUAAGCACUCCAGGAGGUGUUUGGCAGCUGUUUCCUGCAUUCCUUCAGUGAGGCAGUGUUUCUCCGCAGGGAGAAGAGUCCAUUGACACUUCAGGCACUGAUACAGCCAUGGAGAGGCUCAGCAUUCAUGCGCAGAGGGGAGGGGAGGGGAGAGGAGGGGAAGAGAGUAGCGUCUGCUCUCCUGGCUGUUGCUUGCUGCGCCGGCUGCCGCGGGGAGCCGGUGUGGAGAGUUGCUGGUUAUUAGUGAGGAUGGAGAGACAGUAGGAGCAGUUCUUCCCUUCUCUUGGUCUCGGUGCUCAACUGAUGCACGUGAAAAGUGGUGCAAGGCAGCAGAAGGGGAGUAAACGGGGGUAAAACCUGAUAGUGAGAGCAGGCUGGGGUUUCAGUGGGAGAGGGGCUUGCAGGAUUCUGGCUCGCUGUGGCUCGGCCAAUCAGGAGUCAGCGUGCGCUGGUGGUGGAGAGCAGGGGGAAUUGUUUGACAGGUUGCAUGCCAUGAGAAGGGGUUGCUCUUUUUUGUGUGUGUGUGCAGGAAUGUGUUCUGAGUGCCUAAGUGCAUGUGUACGCAGCACACCCACAACACUCUUUCUCUGACUCUCCAUUUUUCUCUAGCACUAUCUGCAUUAUUUUUCCCAGCAUGCCGAGGGUGCUGCUUGUUGAGGUUAAGCACUUGGGAGGACGACUGGCCCUGGGGACAUCAUUUUCCAUUACAGAGACAAGAAACCUUUUCUCUCAGAUGAAGAAGAAGGGAAAAAGUCAGAGCCAUGAACUGGUUAUGCUCCUUGUCAUUUUCUCUUACUCCCCCGACUCGCAAUUUGUUUAGUCAAUAUUUAAUGCCAGUGUUGUGCAGUACAGUUGUCUGUUGGCCCGAUCCAUGGGUUUGAUCUCCAUGUCUCGCCUGAUCUUUCUCUAGGCUUAUAGGCUUGCACUGAGCUGUGACGCUGAGUUUUUAGACAUGCCAAAAAGUGUGGCACAAGCUUGUAAAUGGCUACAUACUUUGCUCUGAUGCAGUGCAAAGGAAAAGAUGGAAAUAGAGAGAAAAACUGAAAAUGGACAGAUGUGCUACAUGCAUUUUGUGCAAAAACAGCUCACCUUUAGUUCACUUCAGCUGCAUUCGAAUUCCUGUACUUUCUUAGUAUGUUCUGAAAUCGAUAAAUAACUUACUUCUCAACUGUUAAUAAAGAAUGUUCUUCAAGUAUGCAGUUGUGUAGCAUAAAUACAUUCCCAGACAUACUACAUCCUGUGUGUUCUUUGACCUAUAAUA